AACGAACGCUGGCGGCAUGCCUAACACAUGCAAGUCGAACGAGACCUUCGGGUCUAGUGGCGCACGGGUGCGUAACGCGUGGGAACCUGCCCUUAGGUUCGGAAUAACUCCCCGAAAGGGGUGCUAAUACCGGAUAAUGUCUUCGGACCAAAGAUUUAUCGCCUUUGGAUGGGCCCGCGUUGGAUUAGCUAGUUGGUAGGGUAAAAGCCUACCAAGGCGACGAUCCAUAGCUGGUCUGAGAGGAUGAUCAGCCACACUGGGACUGAGACGCGGCCCAGACUCCUACGGGAGGCAGCAGUGGGGAAUAGUGGACAAUGGGCGAAGGGCUGAUCCAGCAAUGCCGGGUGAGUGAUGAAGGCCUUAGGGUUGUAAAGCGCUUUUAACCGGGAUGAUAAUGACAGUACCGGGAGAAUAAGCUCCGGCUAACUCCGUG
rnacentral:rRNA from 1 species